rnacentral:lncRNA from 1 species
NNNNNNNNNNNNNNNNNNNNNNNNNNNNNNNNNNNNNNNNNNNNNNNNNNNNNNNNNUUUUUUUUGCUAGGAUCCCAUUGUACUUAACUGAAUUUUAUAACGCUGAUCGAUAUCUUGGUAAAAUAUUCAUUUUUAAACUAGCGGGCAGUGAAAUCUUUGCUUUGUGUGCUAAAGUCAACAGUCGCUCGGUUUGAGCUCAAAUAAAUGCGGAGAUGCCUCGGCUCGGAGCAGUUGGCCGCCUCCCUCCGCGAGCUGGACGCUCCGCCGCCAGCCCGCCACACCGAAGAUUUGCUUGUUCCCAGCAACCAGAACAGAAAGAUGAGAUGGAGGAAGCUACUAUUUUUCUAAGAGUCCCACGUGUUGGAAAGUACAUGAACUUCUCCCCAGGCUGAACUUUGACCGUCACAAGAGUGUCUCCAACAGGCCAUACCUUUGCUGUCAGAUUCGAAUUGCUCCUGGAUGCUUUCCUCUGAGUUUUCAAAGAGUAUCAACUGAGGAAUGAGACACAAAAGCAGACUGUUAAUAGAGAGGCCAUGGCCCAAGUCCAGAUGGGUGCUGUGUAUGCACCUGGAGCUCUCAAGAUAAAGGGAAGGGGGCACAUGGAAAUCGAGACUUGCCGCCUUGGACCAAACUACCAGACCCACAAAGCAUCAGAAUAUGUCGACAAAAGAUGUUAAAAUAUGAAAGUGUUGAUUUGCCCUGCAGUGCAAAUUGAAGUUGUGAUGGUUAGGUUGCCCAAGUAGACCUUCAACCUUCCAUGAAGUCUCUUACCAUGACUAAUAAAGCUUACUGUGAGUAAAUAAUGAUGAGUGGCCAAUUUUUAUAAAAAUUCCUGGCCUAAAAGUGAGGGACUAUCUUAAGAUGUCAUUACUUUUCAGUGACAGGGGAAAAAAAAAUCCACAGACGCAGAGUGAUUGCUUGGGGUGAAAGGUGCUCCAGUAUUCAUCCCUUGUGGGCCUUUCUUGGCUGGUUGAUAAGAUUUUGUGGCCCUGCCUUGUAGAAAGCAGAGUGGGCAGCAUGUACAUAGGCCCUGUGAGCUUCUUGGAGUAGCAGAGCAGGCGCACUUUCCCCAAGGAACCCUGACCCUGACAGGACCCACGAGUAGCCCAGGGCACGCACACCAAGGCCUCUGCCAUCUCCCCAUCAUGGCACACACAUGGCACACUGGUGAUGACACAUUCCAAAAGGAAGGGAAUCACAGGUCUCAGGGAUGGUCAGCUUGGGGACAGUUGUAUUACUCUGAGUGCCAUUUUCCAUUAUUGGGGUGAAGUAGGGCAUUGAAGGGACAGAGUUCAACCUGUUUCAAGUGAAAAAAUGUCAACCCCAAGGCCCACAGAGCACCUCUCCUUUCCUUUUGAAGACUGAGUGUCUUUCACAAGCUGGCCAUUUGCUGCAUGGGGGUUUCUAACAUAAUGUGAUUUUUUAGUGUGCUUUGUCUCUGUGGAGAGGCUUCAGAAAGCCCUUGAAGUCCUCAGCCUUAAAUCCAUGUUAAUAGGGGAAGUCUUUUUUUUUUUUUUUUUUUUUUUUUGGUGGAGAGAUUGGUUGGGAGAAACAUUGACCCAGACUGCACUCUGGGUAAACUAGGGCAAAAGACCUGAUAUCAUCUGCUGGGUACUUAUUAACCACUGCUCAUUUGUGGGAUCAAUAUUUCCAGCAAAGGAGUCAACACUCAAGAUACACCACUACGUACGUCUCAUUUUUUUCCUUGACACACAAUUUAUUUUAUAAAUGCAUCUGCUGGAGAAGAAAAGGCAGUAGGAAGGACUGUGUCUUUUAUCUGAGGGAUAUGCAAAGCACAUUUAUUUUCAGCUUUUAUCUCUGGAAUUGUAUGUUGAUCCCAUACAUAUAGAUUGAUUUUGUUCAGGUAGAUAAUGAAAAGUCAAGUGGAAAAUUACACAAUGGCACUCACGAUCCUAGUCUUAUAUCGGUAUAUAAAUUGGUUUAUUAUUUCAUUCUAUUAAAGAGUUUUUUUUUUCCCC